GGUCAGGACCAGCUCUGACGCGCCCUUUUCUUUGAUUCUUGUGUUAUUUUCCAUCCAAUCUAUUACUUUUGCGGAACAAAACUUCUUUGCAAAGUGGUUCAAACCAGAGGUUGACCCCGCUGCUGAUUGUUAGGGCAGGUUCCUGAUGUGAAACCGCUUUCUAGUUAGCAUUGGGAAGGAGGCGCUUUGUCCAGCCUCAUGAGGACUCGAAACGUCAACUCUUCUUCUCCGCCGAUGCUGCCAGACCUGCUGAGUUUUUCCAGGACAAUGAAAUUUUCUGUAAUCUCUACCUGGCGGAUCCUGACUGGCUGCUGCGCCGAACGUGAGGGUAACAAACAAGAUGAGUAUCAGUGAAUGUAUGCAGGUCAUUGGACCCCAGGAGUGACCAUGGAAACGGUGCUGAAUAUCUUGAGUAAGACUAGAUUCUAUCCAUCUUGAAUGUGGAAGAAGCUGAAAACCAGGAAUGCUGGGGACAGGUGCACUUUGGGAGAGGGAGAACAUUUGUUGAAGAUGGCCUGAGUAAUUGUGAGUCGAUGAAGCAUCUGAAAGUUUUUUUGAGGAUAGUUGGACAUGGAAUGCUGAAGAUUAGCACUUGAGACAAUGUUCCUUGUACAUUGAGUAAGACAAUUCUAUCCAUCCUGAAUGUCGGAGAGGUUUGAACACCAGGAAUGCUGCGAACAGGUGCACUUUGGGAGAGAUACUACGGUGCUCCUCCAACUGCAGUGCAACAAGACUGCUGUACCCUACUUCAGAUGAGCUUCCUUUUGAGUUCAGAUGUGUUUAUAAUUUGUUCAUUGUUGUAGGUUACUAUAAAUUUUGGACAUAUUAAGAUGAGUUGCAAUCAGUUUUGAAAUUUAUGCUAAUCAACCAUUUGUAAUAUGCCUGUAAAUUUUCACAUCUUUAAAUAAAGUUAACUUCAAGCAUUA